rnacentral:rRNA from 1 species
CCUACGGGUGGCAGCAGUGGGGAAUAUUGGACAAUGGGCGAAAGCCUGAUCCAGCCAUGCCGCGUGUGUGAAGAAGGCCUUCGGGUUGUAAAGCACUUUCAGUGGGGAAGAAAGCCUUGGGGCUAAUACCCUCGAGGAAGGACAUCACCCACAGAAGAAGCACCGGCUAACUCCGUGCCAGCAGCCGCGGUAAUACGGAGGGUGCGAGCGUUAAUCGGAAUUACUGGGCGUAAAGCGCGCGUAGGCGGUCUGAUAAGCCGGUUGUGAAAGCCCGGGGCUCAACCUGGGAACGGCAUCCGGAACGGUCAGGCUAGAGUGCAGGGGAGGAAGGUAGAAUUCCCGGUGUAGCGGUGAAAUGCGUAGAGAUCGGGAGGAAUACCAGUGGCGAAGGCGGCCUUCUGGACUGACACUGACGCUGAGGUGCGAAAGCGUGGGUAGCAAACAGGAUUAGAUACCCCAGUAGUC